UACAGAGGGUGCAAGCGUUAAUCGGAAUUACUGGGCGUAAAGCGCGCGUAGGCGGUUUGUUAAGUUGAAUGUGAAAGCCCCGGGCUCAACCUGGGAACUGCAUCCAAAACUGGCAAGCUAGAGUACAGUAGAGGGUGGUGGAAUUUCCUGUGUAGCGGUGAAAUGCGUAGAUAUAGGAAGGAACACCAGUGGCGAAGGCGACCACCUGGACUGAUACUGACGCUGAGGUGCGAAAGCGUGGGGAGCAAACAGG
rnacentral:rRNA from 1 species